GACAAACGCUGGCGGCGUGCCUAAUACAUGCAAGUCGAACGACGAAAGCCUUCGGGCAAGUAAGAGUGGCGCACGGGCGAGGAACACGUAGAUAAUCUGCCCUUCAGGGGGGAAUAACUCUCCGAAAGGAGUGCUAAUACCGCAUUAGACCACAAGCUCUGCGGAGUCAGGGGUUAAAGGAUUUAUUCGCUGAAGGACGAGUCUGGGUCCGAUUAGCUAGUGGGUGAGGUAAUGGCUUACCAAGGCACUGAGGGGUAGAUGGUCUGAGAGGUUGAUCAUCCGCACUGGAACUGAGACACGGUCCAGACUCCUACGGGAGGCAGCAGUAGGGAAUAUUGCACAAUGGGGGAAACCCUGAUGCAGCAACGCCGCGUGAGUGAUGAAGGCUCUAGGGUCGUAAAGCUCUGUCGUAUGGGAAGAAAAAAAUGACGGUACCAUACAAGAAAGGACCGGCCAACUUCGUGCCAGCAGCCGCCGUAA
rnacentral:rRNA from 1 species